ensembl:snoRNA
AUUGAGGUCUAUCCCAAUGGGGCUUUUCCAGUAGCCACACAUUGUUGGAAAUGUUUCCUACAGUAACCGUGGUUUUCCUUAAUUCACAGGACUUUGUUGGGCCUGUGGGAAGGAACUACAAAACAAUU